rnacentral:rRNA from 1 species
AAACCAUUCUCCCCCCUUAGUACGGGCGACGGAAAAGGGAUACGAGGAGCUAUAGAGAAAGUACCGCAAGGGAAUGCUGAAAGAGAAAUGAAAUAACCCAGUAAAGCGCAAAAAAGCAGAGGUUUUUCCUCGUACCUUUUGCAUCAUGAUCUAGCCAGUAAGACUUAAGCAAAGAGCACUUUAGUUUAAGACCCCGAAACUAUGGUGAGCUACUCCGAGACAGCCUAUAAUAGGGCGAAUCCGUCUCUGUGGCAAAAGAGUGGAAAGAGCUCCGAGUAGUGGUGACAGACCUAUCGAACCUAGUUAUAGCUGGUUGCCUGAGAAAUGGAUAAGAGUUCAGCCUCAUGGCUUCUUCCCUUAGAACCUUGCCCUUCGGCCCAACGAAAAAACAAAGGAAGCCAUGGGAGUUAAUCAAAGGAGGCCCAGCUCCUUUGAUAAAAGAUACAACUUUCCUAGGAGGGUACAGAUCAUAUUCCCCUCAAGGCUUAGUGUCCUGGUGGGCCUAAGAGCAGCCAUCCAUAUGAAAAGCGUUAAAGCUCAAACACGUCAGCCUCCCUGUAAUAAUGAUAAUUACAUCUCAACCCCCUUGAUCCUACCAGGCCGUUCCAUACCCCUAUGGAAGCGAUUAUGCUAGAAUGAGUAAUAAGAGGGCACGACCCUCUCCCCGCACACGUGUUCAUCGACCCGGACCCACCAUCGAACUUUAACGGCCCCAAUAAUAGAGGGAAGUGAUUAACAAAAGAGACAACAGGACAAGCACUCAGCCACUUAACCCACCGUUGACCCCACACUGGAGUGCCACUCGGGAAAGACCAAAAGAAGAAGAAGGAACUCGGCAAACACCUAAAGCCUCGCCUGUUUACCAAAAACACCGCCUCUUGCAAGAUUAACGAAUAAGAGGUCCCGCCUGCCCUGUGACCACUGAGUUCAACGGCCGCGGUAUCCUGACCGUGCGAAGGUAGCGCAAUCAAUUGCUCCUUAAAUGGGGGCCUGUAUGAAUGGCGCAACGAGGGCUUAACUGUCUCCUUUUUCAGGUCAGUGAAAUUGAUCUCCCCGUGCAGAAGCGGGGGUAAAGCCAUAAGACGAGAAGACCCUAUGGAGCUUUAGACGCCAAGGCAGACCAGGUUUAUCACCCCCCUUUAAAGGGCAAAACUUUUUGGCCUCCUGCCCGAAUGUCUUCGGUUGGGGCGACCCCGGGGGAAAGAAAAGCCCCCGAGCAGAAAGAGAAUCUAAUUCUCCAAGCCGAGAGUCUCCACUCUAAUAAUCAGAACCUCUGACUUAACUGAUCCGGCAAUGCCGAUCAACGGACCAAGUUACCCUAGGGAUAACAGCGCAAUCCUCUUUUAGAGCCCAUAUCGACAAGGGGGUUUACGACCUCGAUGUUGGAUCAGGACAUCCUAAUGGCGCAGCCGCUAUUAAGGGUUCGUUUGUUCAACGAUUAAAGUCCUACGUGAUCUGAGUUCAGACCGGAGCAAUCCAGGUCGGUUUCUAUCUAUGCUAUGAUCUUUUCUAGUACGAAAGGACCGGAAAGAAAGGGCCCCUACUUCAAGCACGCCCCACCCCUAACUAAUGAAUACAACUAAAUUAGAAAAAGGGGC